CACGUUAAAGGGCGUAGGCCGGGGGGCAGGUAAAUCCGUCCCCCACGAGGCUGAACCCCGACAGUACCCGGACCCGCAAGGGGAAGGGAUAGUGGAGGUAAUCAUGCUGCCAAGAAAAGCGUCGUAGUUUGUUAGAGUCGCUCGUACCCCAAACCGACACAGGUGGGUGAGGAGAGUAUCCUCAGGUGCUCGAGUAAUUCAUGGCUAAGGAACUAGGCAA
rnacentral:rRNA from 1 species